GUCAUUUAGGGAAUGCCACGAGUGUCAGAAAUAAGGACGACACCGGCGUCGGUGACAGACAGACAGGACGGAAAGUGUACAUUGAGGCCUCCGGGCAUUUUUGCCGCGUGACAUCUGUGUUUUCGUAGGUCUUUUUGGUCAUGUUAGACUCAUUUCCUUGUUGUCUUUGAUUCCUUCCUUCAUCCCUCUUCAUUUAAACCAUUCCUCUGAGUAAGGUUCCUAUAUUCCAUGCCCAGUAGGAAACAGCUGUCCAGUCUAUAAGUCAUGAUAACUACCAUCUUCCUCCUUUCCCUCCAGGCUGCCCCCCCCGCCCCCCUCAUCUUACACACACAUGCAAACACACUGCAGUGAAUAACCAGCCCACAGCAUGAUGUCAGACGUCUGCUGGCUGACAAGUUCUGCCGUGGGUAAAACACACUUACUGUAAAUGCACACGGAUGUGUGUGCAUGUGUGUGUAUGUGUGUCGCCCACAACACAGGGGACCCUCGCAGGCACAGUGGUACUCUCACACACAUGUACCACAUGUGUGCACAAACACACAAACACACCCAUCCACAGCUGCAAUCCAACUCCAGACGGGAGACAAGGAAAUGGAACAGAACAGACUGCGUUGGUGGAAUACAAGUUCCUCCUGACACUAUGAUGACGACACAUUUUUUUACAUUCAUCUCCAUAAAGGACAAGAAUGAUUAAUCAGCUGUUUUUUAUAAUGUUGUUUUAAAAUCCAUCUCUCCCCUUUUUUUUCACCCAGACUCCGGUUCAAUUUGCCCUCCCAUCCUUUAGGCCUGCUACGAAAAGCCCGCUCUCCUCGUAUGGCCCGGGUUAUUGAUUUGCCAUUAUGUUAUAUGGGGGGAGAAAAUCCAUGGCUUUCCCUUUAAAUAACCAUCACAUGAAGACAAGAGAGAUAUAUCACAGAGAAACCAUAUCGAAUUGGAACACAUGGGACGCCCGGCGUAAGCAAGGGAUGAAGAAAACAGCAAAUUUAUUUCCUUGGGAAGGAUGCAGAGCCGGAUAAUUUACUUUAGAGUUACCAGGAAUUGAAGCCUCCCUGGGACUGAGAGACUUUUGGCAGGAAAAUGUCCAGGCUCCGUUUGCUCAUGGACGAGACGUGCUAAAUUAGCGCUGGUGUGGAGACUGUGCUGCUCUGCUGCAGCCACAUCACGGUGAAACGCACGUCUGAGGCCCACGACGCAGCACUGUCACAGAAAACCUCUCCAACAACAGAGGGAGGACAACAGAGGACACGCAGCAGACAAAGGGCUGCCUGUGCUGUUAUGUUCAGGAAGUGAGGCCUAAUCUGCUCUGAUGUGGUGAGCUGCAGUACCUGUAACACACACACACACACACACACACACACACACAGGCAGUUCCUGUGUAGAGCGUAUGAUGUCUAGUGCACGUGAACCAGAGUGACAGGACGAUGAGUGACACAGACACACACUCUGCCAGAGCGACUCACGAGUCCUGACAGACUUGCCGUAGGCCGUGUGUGUGUGUGUGUGUGUGUGUGUGUGUGUGUGUGGGAGACAGAGGUGAUUAUAGUCGUGCAGCUCUUGUGCUAAAACUUUUCUGUAAUAAAGCAUAUUUUUAUGCAAAUACAAAACCACACAGCGGACUGAUAAACAGCCUCACAUUUACAGAA